rnacentral:rRNA from 1 species
GACGUAGGGCGCGAGCGUUGUCCGGAUUUAUUGGGCGUAAAGAGCUCGUAGGCGGCUCGUUGCGUCGGCUGUGAAAACCCGCAGCUCAACUGUGGGCUUGCAGCCGAUACGGGCGGGCUAGGAUUCGGUAGGGGAGACUGGAAUUCCUGGCGUAGCGGUGAAAUGCGCAGAUAUCAGGAGGAACACCGGUGGCGAAGGCGGGUCUCUGGGCCGAUAUCGACGCUGAGGAGCGAAAGCGUGGGGAGCGAACAGG